GGCCUAUUGUAGAUUUAUAUUAGGUCUUACCUGCUCAAUGAUAAUAUAUUAUUAAAUAGCCGCAGUAUUUUGACUGUGCAAAGGUAGCAUAAUCAUUUGUCUUUUAAUUGUGGACUUGUAUGAAUGGUUUGAUGAAAUAUUAACUUUCUUUAUAUAAAUAAAAUUAACUUAAUUUUUUAGUUAAAAAGCUAAAAUAUUUUUAUAGGACGAGAAGACCCUAUAGAAUUUUAUACUUUUAUAGCAUUAUACUAUUGGGUUUUAUAUUAAUAGUGUUAGAAUAAGUAUUUUGUUGGGGUGACAGGGAAAUUUAAAUAACUUUCUUUAUGUAGUAUUUAUUUAUAUGUAUAUUAAUGAUCCUGUUUUACGGAUAAAAAGAUUAAAUUACCUUAGGGAUAACAGCGUAAUUCUUUUGGAGAGUUCUUAUCGAUAAAGGAGUUUGCGACCUCGAUGUUGGAUUAAAAUAAGUAUUAGGUGUAGGUGCUUAAUUACUAGGUCUGUUCGACCUUUAAAUUUUUACA
rnacentral:rRNA from 1 species